AGAAUAUAAGAACCAGUCUCUUAACUUUUAACUAAAAAAGAUAAGAACCGGCUUUUAAAUAAAAGUUUUAAGAGCCGGUUUUUAGCUUUUUUAAUUAAAAGUUAAGAGACGGGUUCUUACAUUCC
rfam:Brassica napus, WGS project CCCW01000000 data, contig: 10431